rnacentral:lncRNA from 1 species
UCUGGCUUGUCCCACCAUCCACUUCAAAAUCUGCUCUUAGCCAUGAGGAGAGGGAUGGUAGGCGCUCUGUGCUUCGCAUGACUGUACAGGUGUGGAGUGUAGGAGAACCAGCCUGGGAUGUGGGAAAAGAAAUGGAAUUGUGGUCCAGCGCCGACACGUUGUUGCUGUCUGACCAGACAAAGAAAAAUCUCUCCAAAGAUGAGAUGAAAGAGAAAUUACAUCAAAUCACUGAAGCGCUGUGGACGACUUUCUUAGUUGGACCGGCAGAGAAGCAGCAAUCAUCCACGUGCUCCGCUUUUGGCCUGCCUUCCCUUUAUUAGACGUUGGCACUGUCAGUCAUACUUACCUCCGGUUGCAUCUCCUCAAAGCAGUUUCCUGUUCUCUUACAGACAAACAUGACAGGCUAGAGUGUAGUUAACAAUACACGAUGCUAGGAUUCCUGGAAAAAAUUCCUACGCCUUUUGAUCUGUCAACUCUGUAAAGAAAUUGAGCCCCAACAAUGUGGUUGAAGUAAG